rnacentral:rRNA from 1 species
GACGUAGGGCGCGAGCGUUGUCCGGAUUUAUUGGGCGUAAAGCGCGUGUAGGCGGCUUCGUAAGUCCGUUGUGAAAGUCCAGGGCUCAACCCUGGAAUGCCGAUGGAUACUGCGGAGCUAGAGUCCGGAAGAGGCGAGUGGAAUUCCUGGUGUAGCGGUGAAAUGCGCAGAUAUCAGGAGGAACACCAAUGGCGAAGGCAGCUCGCUGGGACGGUACUGACGCUGAGGCGCGAAAGCGUGGGGAGCAAACAGG